rnacentral:tRNA from 1 species
AUUUUCUAAGUAUACAUAGUACAGUUGACUUCCAAUCAACAAGCUCUGGUAAAAUCCAGAAGAAAAUA